UCCCCAGUGCCUUAAUGGUAAAGAAUCUGCCUGCAAAAUGGGAGACCCAAGUUCAAUCCUUGGGUCGGGAA
rnacentral:tRNA from 1 species